AAGAUAGGGUUUCCUUCAGCAACAUAACUCUGUUCUCAUGUUGGAAGUGGAUUUUGUGCUGGAAUCAAUUGUUAAAAGGACAGCACUGCCUUGAAGAUGUAUCCAGGCAGAAGAGUUGGUGACUCAACGUUAGCUCACCACAGUCAUAAAAAUGACUGAUUCUCAUGAGCACAGACACUGGAUAGCCCACCUAUCCGUGCGUGGAAGAUGUUGCAAUGAGGACCAUAGACUCCUGCCUGACCUCCAAACCCCUAGGGAUAAAAGCCAUGAGUAUCCUGGAAGCUUAGCUCAAGUCCACAGACAUGCUGCUCUGUGAAAGGACAGGUACUUUUGCAAGACCAUUGUGUGAGCAGCUGCAUGUCUAUAGAAAAUAAUACGGUGAUUCAUUGUUCUGCUGUAAGCUUCAAUAUUUGACAUAAAUUUUGUCAGGGCAACCUUUCCCCCUCUGCUUCCGCUUCUAAUAUUUAAUUGUAACACAUUGUGGUUGCAACAAGCUGAAACCAUUGAGAUUAAAAAAUGAGUUGUUAAAAAAAAAAGUGGAGAAACACAUUCUUUGUGGUGAAUACUAAUCUUGCAAAGCAUUUUAUUUCCGGGGAGGCUGCCAAGAGCAAGUGUGGAAGAGUCGGUAUUGAAAUGACUCAUGGCAUCUGCAGCCUCGGGAGGUCAGAGGAGCAGACAAGGAGAAUAGUCAAGGGCUUGCCUUGGAGGUGGAAGAACACUCCAGCCAGUAGGCAGAGCGAAGCUGUCUGGAAGGAAGGAUUCCCAACCUCCACACACUGGGUCAGGGCACCUUCCCUUUUCUGGAUUAGCUUCCGGCCCCGUGGAACAUUCUCCUCUCUUAAGUCAAUCAACUCUGCAAGACUGAAUUGCUUACUCUUGGUUCACUGAAUUCUGGUGGGCUGUCUUAGAAAUGACCCCUCUGCCUAGCCUAUGGGAUCUUCUCAACCAGGCCUGUGUGGUCACUCACCUUCUGAGGGUACUGGGGACUGUAGGAUGGAGCCUGCCUGGAGGAGUAGGAGGUGGAUGGACUACAGCAAGCCCAGCUCAAAUGGAGCAGAACAGAGCACAAGGCCCCAAGAUGCUGAGGAGCUGCAGGGAUGCUGAAGAACUUGGUUCUCCAAGCAAACAGCAGUUCAGCCAUCCUGUGCCCACUAGCAGGUCUGUGGACUGAGCACAUUCCCUAAGAGUACGGAAUAGGGAGAGUCAUUGAAACCUUACCUGGAAUUCCAGCCAUCUGUCCUAGCCAUUUGUUUGCAAUUCUUCCCUAAUUGUAUGUGGCUUAGAGUACAUAGACUGGAGACAGUUGACUAAAGGAAGCUGUAUCUAUGUGACUAUUGUGGACACCACCAUCCAUGCUGGGUGAAGACUGCAGUGUAGCUGUUUUGGGUCACCCAAGCUCCUAUAUACAAUCCCUCACCCAUGCUCUGUAGGUAAGGCCAGUAAACUCCCUAGUUGAACUUUGA
rnacentral:lncRNA from 1 species